UAAGGAAUAUUGGUCAAUGGACGCAAGUCUGAACCAGCCAUGCCGCGUGGAGGAUGAAGGUCCUCUGGAUUGUAAACUUCUUUUAUCUGGGACGAAACACUUCUUUUCUAAGAGGCCUGACGGUACCAGAUGAAUAAGCACCGGCUAACUCCGUGCCAGCAGCCGCGGUAAUACGGAGGGUGCAAGCGUUAUCCGGAUUCACUGGGUUUAAAGGGUGCGUAGGUGGGUAUGUAAGUCAGUGGUGAAAUCCCCGAGCUUAACUUGGGAACUGCCAUUGNUACUAUAUAUCUUGAAUACCGUAGAGGUAAGCGGAAUAUGUCAUGUAGCGGUGAAAUGCUUAGAUAUGACAUGGAACACCAAUUGCGAAGGCAGCUUACUAUGCGGUGAUUGACACUGAGGCACGAAAGCGUGGGUAGCAAACA
rnacentral:rRNA from 1 species